CCCUAUUCCCAGCCGUUCUUCCCCUUUUCUCUCUAUCCUCUUCUCUUCGUGAUACCCCCUCCCCGUCGAGCAAAGCAAUCAAAGCCCAGGCCACCGUAAAUCGGUGGCCACGGGUUAAAACAGUCGGUGAGAACCUCCUAAAACCCAACUCCUUACCACUGAGCCCCUAAAUCCAUCCCCAAAAUCAACGAAAAUCAAAACCUAGCUUCAAAGGUAUGAUCUUUACCUUCGGUUGUGGCUUUUAAGGCUCUGGUGAAGUUACCAAAGGUCGGAUCUUCUCUAAAGGUUGAUGACGACGGCGGCUCGGGAUGUCUCGGCGGCGGCUCACGCGCCGAUCUGGAGGAGCGCAUGCAUCACACGUGCCGACGAGGGCUGUUCAACUUCACUGGCGGCAGCCGUUGAUGAUUUUAGGGUUUAAAACUCUAAUUUGAAUGGGUUCUCUUGUUGGGCUCGGGUCGGAUUUGACCGGGUUUGGGUCAACAGCUGGGUCUUGGGAGAUAGCUAGUGGGCUUGAAUGUUGUAAUUGGGCUUCUGUUGUAAUCUAUUUGGGCUUAUAGUGGCCUGCAAAAGUUGUAAAUUAUAUUUUCUCCACUUGA